AGUGUAUAUAUGAGUAAGUUACUCCUGCAUGAAAACUUCUUCAGAACCAGUGACACCUUUGAGUAACAACUGCAAAGGUCAGCCUUCAGAUUCAGUGAAGUGAACAUUGUGAAACAAUUUGGCAACACACUUCUAACAUCAUAAAGGAGGACAACUCCCCCUGAUUAAAGGGCAGUGGGAUCAUGGCCUCCCUUUUCUACUCAUAGCGUUGACAUUUCCACAGUAAUAGGGACAUGUUCUGGCAGCUUUGAGAAAAUACUGACUCUGAAAUCUUUUUACUGUUGUUUGGAAAACAGUUUCAGUAAUUAAUUUUAUUCAGUGGGCAUGGAAGCAGUGCCCUGUAUCUCUGAUUAAUACAGUAAUUCAAGAUACCAGUGAUUUAAGACAGCUGCUAGUGCUGACUCAUUCACUGUACCUUGUGGUAUGUUUACCCCAACUGCUUGCUGCUUUGGAGGCUGUCGAAUGAGGAAGGAAUAUUAAUCAGUGAGCACAUCGCACUGUGCUCUAGAACUACAGUCAUGGACUAGAUGACCACCCAUGCUUGAAAAAGGCAUGCUGACUGAAUCAUCUCUGACUUCCAGCACCACACUCCCAGUCCCAGGAGAUGCCUUAGCUGCAAGGACUCUGUGUGGAGAAGGAAAUGCAAAACCCUAAAAGAGGAGCCAGAGAUUAAGCUUGGAGAUUUACCAGGUUAAAGAAAUACUUGCUUUCAACUCUAGGACAUGACUGAAGCAUAUAAAGAGCAGGCAACUUCAAAAUCCCUUGUCUUAUCUCCUUUUCCCAGGCAUUUGUUAAUUUGCUAGUAGCUUCCUUCUUUGAAAGAAAAUUCCUAU